rnacentral:rRNA from 1 species
ACAAGCAGGCGGAGCAUGUGGUUAAUUCGAAGCAACGCGAAGAACCUUACCAGAUCUUGACAUCCAAUUGACCAUCUUUUAAUCGAGAGUUUUGCCUUCGGGUACAAUUGAGACAGGUGGUGCAUGGUUGUCGUCAGCUCGUGUCGUGAGAUGUUGGGUUAAGUCCCGCAACGAGCGCAACCCUUGUGUUUAGUUGCAAACAGGUCAAGCUGUGCACUCUAGACAGACUGCCGUGGACAACACGGAGGAAGGUGGGGAGUGACGUCAAAUCAUCAUGCCCCUUAUGAUCUGGGCUACACACGUGCUACAAUGGCCGGUACAACGGGCAGCGAAGGAGCGAUCCGGAGCGAAUCCUAAAAAGCCGGUCCCAGUUCGGAUUGCAGGCUGAAACUCGCCUACAUGAAGUUGGAGUUGCUAGUAAUCGCGAAUCAGAAUGUCGCGGUGAAUGCGUUCCCGGGUCUU